GUGUGAGAAACUGUGCUGCAUGAACUCAUUGAACCCAACCUGCGCAUGCACGCAUACUCCUUCUCCAUCUGAGUGGAGUGAGACGGCCAUGAGAGAUAAAAGUGUCAGCUUGAGGAGAGGAAGAAAUGUGAUUAGAUGAGGCAAGCCAUUAAGUUUCAUAGGUGCAGCGGCCGCGUGCUUGCCUAUAGUUUCUCCCUGCUUGGCUCCAAGCCUCCUGCUCUCUGCUGCAUGUUUCCUGCUUGGUUAUGUAAUACGGGGCUGUUCGGUACUUUUUUCCUCCCCCUUCUUCCCGACCAUAACGUGCCUUCCUGUUUUUUUCCAGUCACCCACUGAACUCUUUUCCCAAGGCGCACAAACACACACACACUCACACGCUACUAUGGUUGCUUGUUAUUUUAAUGUGUGUAUCACACCUAUCUUUGUAUCCUCUAUCAGACCAUAAAUAGGAUAUGAGUGUGUGUGCGUGUGUGUGUGUGUGUGUGUGUGUGCGUGUGUGAGACAAAAGAGCCAGUGCGUGUCUGGCUUGCCUCCUUUGUUGCGGGUGGCCUGGUGCCGGCUCAUUUUCCCACUAGUGUAGUGUUUUUUGUGGGUGUUUUUUUUUUUUUUUUUUUUUUUUUUAAAUGGGGCGGCUAGGCAACAAAGAGCCACAGCUUUCCCGCCUGAUAUGCAAAUGAAGACUGGGUGGGCCGGGCAGGGAGACUCCCCUUCUGCGGCGCUUAACGCAUUCACUGCCGGAUACAUCUAUGAGGCGGUGUCGUCCAUCCUUCACUUGAAAAUGGCGAUUCUUCAGACAACCAAGCUUCCAGGUCAAAAGCGGAGAAACUCAUAAUGAAAACCCUCGCAAGCUGACACGGACGGACGGACGGACGGACACACACCUCAGUGCGUUGAGAAGUCCCUCCACACU